GGAAUGCGGCAGCUACACAUGCAGUCGAACGGUAGCACAGAGAGCUUGCUCUCGGGUGACGAGUGGCGGACGGGUGAGUAAUGUCUGGGAAACUGCCUGAUGGAGGGGGAUAACUACUGGAAACGGUAGCUAAUACCGCAUAACGUCGCAAGACCAAAGAGGGGGACCUUCGGGCCUCUUGCCAUCAGAUGUGCCCAGAUGGGAUUAGCUAGUAGGUGGGGUAACGGCUCACCUAGGCGACGAUCCCUAGCUGGUCUGAGAGGAUGACCAGCCACACUGGAACUGAGACACGGUCCAGACUCCUACGGGAGGCAGCAGUGGGGAAUAUUGCACAAUGGGCGCAAGCCUGAUGCAGCCAUGCCGCGUGUAUGAAGAAGGCCUUCGGGUUGUAAAGUACUUUCAGCGGGGAGGAAGGUGAUGAGGUUAAUAACCUUGUCGAUUGACGUUACCCGCAGAAGAAGCACCGGCUAACUCCGUGCCAGCAGCCGCGGUAAUACGGAGGGUGCAAGCGUUAAUCGGAAUUACUGGGCGUAAAGCGCACGCAGGCGGUCUGUCAAGUCGGAUGUGAAAUCCCCGGGCUCAACCUGGGAACUGCAUUCGAAACUGGCAGGCUAGAGUCUUGUAGAGGGGGGUAGAAUUCCAGGUGUAGCGGUGAAAUGCGUAGAGAUCUGGAGGAAUACCGGUGGCGAAGGCGGCCCCC
rnacentral:rRNA from 1 species